GAUAGCUCGCCGAAAGGCGAAUUAAUACCGCAUGUGAUUAGAAAGGACAUCUUUCAAAAUUAAAGUCGGGGCAACCUGACGCUUUGUGGGGCCCGCGGCCUAUCAGCUAGUUGGUGAGGUAACGGCUCACCAAGGCUUUGACGGGUAGCUGGUCUGAGAGGACGACCAGCCACACUGGGACUGAGACACGGCCCAGACACCUACGGGUGGCAGCAGUCGAGAAUUUGACAAUGGGGGAAACCCUGAUCGAGCGACGCCGCGUGGAGGAUGAAGGUCUUCGGGUUGUAAACCCCUUUCAGCAGGGACGAAGCGAGAGUGACGGUACCUGCAGAAGAAGCGCCGGCUAACUACGUGCCAGCAGCCGCGGUAACACGUAGGGCGCAAGCGUUGUCCGGAAUUAUUGGGCGUAAAGAGCUCGUAGGCGGUCUGUUGCGUCCGCUGUGAAAACUC
rnacentral:rRNA from 1 species